GACCUCCUGGUGCUUACUACAGGCUGUGUUCUUACACUGACUGUAUAGAAAGAGGAGGCAGAGUAAACCUGCCCUAGGUACACCCCAGCCCAGGCCUGGUCUGUAUUGUGAAUGGGGGAACAUGG
ensembl:snoRNA